rnacentral:lncRNA from 1 species
CGCAGUUUUUGCCCACCGUAGUCCGGGGUAGGCCGUUAAUUAACUGAUUUGCCUAGUUAAGUAAAGUUUAAGUAUGUGAUUGUACCAGAACUAGAUACUGUAUCUGUCCACGCAACAUAUCGCUCAUGUGUGACGUAGCAAUGCAUGUCUUCAAAUCAACUGUCAUUUAACGUCUAGGAUAGAUCCCAAAUUACACCAUAUUCCUAUACAGUGCACUAUUUACUUUUAACCAGAGCCCUGUAGUGCAUUAUAUAGGGAAUAGGGUGUCAAUUAGGCUCAGUGGACUCAUUUACUCUCUCCUCUCCCCCUCCCCUUCCAUUCUUAGGACAUCAGGCGGUUCUUUGUAUCAAGCAAACCCGCAGCACAGAAACCAUCUCAGGAUGGAACCCUGAACACAGAGAAGGAAUCCACGAAGAAGAAGAAGAAGCAAUCUGUCUCAACAGACGAAGAAGUGAAGAAGAAGAAACCUGUCACCAAGAUCACCAGCCCCAAGGUGGAGAAGAAGAAGAAGAAGGACAAUGAUAAAAAGAGAAAGAGGCGUGCUGUCAUCGAGUCAGGUAAUAAUGAUGACUGGACCUCUGACUGGUAAUAAUGACGACUGGACCUCUGACUGGUAAUAAUGAUGACUGAACCUCUGACUGGUAAUAAUGAUGACUGGACCUCUGACUGGUAAUAAUGACGACUGGACCUCUGACUGGUAAUAAUGACGACUGGACCUCUGACUGGUAAUAAUGAUGACUGGACCUCUGACUGGUAAUAAUGAUGACUGAACCUCUGACUGGUAAUAAUGAUGACUGGACCUCUGACUGGUAAUAAUGACGACUGGACCUCUGACUGGUAAUAAUGAUGACUGGACCUCUGACUGGUAAUAAUGAUGACUGAACCUCUGGCUGGUAAUAAUGAUGACUGUCCCUCUGACUGGUAAUAAUGAUGACUGUCCCUCUGACUGGUAAUAAUGAUGACUGGACCUCUGACUGGUAAUAAUGAUGACUGGACCUCUGACUGGUAAUAAUGAUGACUGGACCUCUGACUGGUAAUAAUGAUGACUGGACCUCUGACUGGUAAUAAUGAUGACUGAACCUCUGACUGGUAAUAAUGAUGACUGGACCUCUGACUGGUAAUAAUGAUGACUGGACCUCUGACUGGUAAUAAUGAUGACUGAACCUCUGACUGGUAAUAAUGAUGACUGAACCUCUGACUGGUAAUAAUGAUGACUGAACCUCUGACAGGUAAUAAUGAUGACUGGACCUCUGGCUGGUAAUAAUGAUGACUGGACCUCUGGCUGGUAAUAAUGAUGACUGGACCUCUGACUGGUAAUAAUGAUGAC